AUUGAACGCUGGCGGCAGGCCUAACACAUGCAAGUCGAACGAGUGGCGGACGGGUGAGUAAUGUCUGGGAAACUGCCCGAUGGCGGGGGAUAACUACUGGAAACGGUAGCUAAUACCGCAUACCGUCGGAUGAUCCCAAAGGGGAUUAGCUAGUAGGUGGGGUAACGGCUCACCUAGGAGACGAUCCCUAGCGGGCUUGAGAGGAUGACGAGCCACACUGGAACUGAGACACGGUCAAGACCCCUCCGGAAGGAGGCGGUGGGGAAUAUUGGACAAUGGGCGAAAGCCUGACGCAGAAAUGCAGGUUGUAUGAAGAAGUCCUUCGGGUUGUAAAGUACUUUCAGAGAGGAGGCGUUACUCGCAGAAGAAGCACCGGCUAACUCCGUGCCAGCAGCCGCGGUAAUAC
rnacentral:rRNA from 1 species